AUUGAGGUUUAUUAUUGAAAUUUUUCAUUUGAGCUUCCUGCUUUAAGCCCUAUUCACAUGAUAAAUUUCUGUGUACCUAUGCUUUCUUUUUCUUGUAAUGUUACUCCCUGGAGUUGAACUUGCUUUAUAUAUAUAUUUCAUUUUUAAUAGAAACGGGGUUUCACUAUAUUGCCUAGGCUGGUCUUGAACUCCUGGGCUCAAGUGAUCCUCCUGCCGAGGCCUCCCAAAUUGCUGGGACUACAGCUGUGAGCCACCAUGCCCAGCCUUAACUUGGUUUUAAGACCUCUGAUUUGCCUUGCCUCAAUUACCUCCUUUCUUAUUUUCUUUCCUUUGUUGACUCUCAUACUCUGUUCUCCUAAUUCUCCCCCUUUUCCACUCCCUGCCCACCCUGAAAGACACACACACACACAAUAAGUGGGUGGAGUAAGAAGUCAACGGAGUUGGAUAUAAGCAUUCCUGCUUUUCUGACAUCUCCAGUGUCUUGGAGAACAAGGAUUCUAGAAUGAGGGCUCCUCAUUAUGCUUCCUUUCAACAUUUUUUCUCUGUGUUACUUAAGCUUUCACCCCAAGCAUGUUUGACAGAGAGCCAGUGCAUUCCCCUUACUUUUUACAAAAAUAAAAAAAGAAAGAAAAAGAAAGAAAGAAAGAAAAAGAAAGAAAGAAAGAAAGAAAGAAAGAGAAAGAAAGAAAGAAAAGAAAGAAAGAAAGUUACCGAUCUUAGUAGACCAAAAAGCUAAACUUAUGAAAGUCUCAAUUCUGGGCACAAGCCUGAGAUAACCUCUAAACUCUUUAAGGUUGUAAUUUAUCUAGACAUUGGAUGAAAUAAGAGGACUUGGGCAGAGGGCACUAAUAGAAGCAUAAGAGAAAGUUUGGUUAAAGGAAGGGAUUGAUAAAAGGGAUUAUUUCUAAGAAGAGUGGUGAGGUUUCACUCAUUAAGGAAGGAAACAUUUUAUAAAUAAGUUAUUAACUUUAUAAGUAAGUAUAAAGCCUUGUUUCUAUAUUUAUUCUCCAUAUAAUAUUUUACAAAAGUGGCAUCCAAUUUAGCUGACCCCUUCUCAGACAUUUCUGAAAUCUACCUAACUCUAAGAUGGGAUACUGUGACUAUUUCCACAAAUAGAUGCUGAACUAAAGAAUUAUUUUUCCAGGGCAUUAAUGACAUUUUGGUAGAAAAUAGUCUUUGGUCAAAUGACAUCGUGGGACAGUAAUAAUAAAUUUAAUGAAGCAUGUCCUAUGUGACAGGCACUGGUCCAGCACUUCACAUUUUAAACCAUUAUGAUAUACAUUUUACAAGUGAGGAGACUGAGGCCAGAAAAGUUAAGUAACUCCCUUCCUGCUAGCUCAGCGUACUUCCUAGGGUUUGGGGAAUGAUGAGGUGAGAGUAUGCAUAUAAAGCACCCACAGUGCCUGGUACUUAUUAUUUACAAUACAUUGUAGUUAUUUUUAUAAUAGUCAUUGAUUUUGUUUUUGUGGUUUUGUGAUUAAUGGUAACUCAGAAAUAGGACUUAAAGCAGGAAGCUCAAAACAAAUGAAAUGUAGGCUUUGCUCUACAUUUUUGUUUCUCCCUAAUGCUUUUUACACUCAUGCUAUAAAAUUACAUUUGUUUAUUGCUUACAUUUCCCCACU
rnacentral:lncRNA from 10 species